GGGGAGGGGAUGAAUUCUACAAACAAGGAGAGAAAUCAUAUUGGAUACAUCAGGACACAUUUUUUGGCUUCAGUGACCUGAGGAAUAAAAUGUUCUCAUAUAUGUCGUGGUCACAUUUUAUGCAACGGAUGCUUUUUUGAAGAUCUUGCAUAAUUCAAGACAAACUUUCCCAUAGCAAUAAAUGUAAAGUCAGAGGGAUGUGUUCCAGCAGAGCAUAAAUCUGUAAUUACUAUGUUUUCUUUUGGCUUUAAAGCUGUUCCCCCCACCCCAGCAUUAUCUAUAAUAUUUUGCAGAGUCUUUUCCCAUAUCAAUAGCACGUCAGAGUGCGUGCAUGGGUUUUGCUGUGGCAUUUUACCACAUCUAACUUCCCUUGCAUAGAUUUAAAUUUGGGGGAGCUUUUUAUCAGCCUCAGAGUGAGCACCCCCAUUCAUGGAUCUUUUAGAUGACAAUAAAUUGUAUCAGUGAAGAUUAGUACUGGCAAAAUAGUCACCACGAUGUUAACAAAACUCUUUGACUCAUAUAAAUAAUAAUAAGGUUCACAGAUUACAGAUCCUGAGAAAAGAUGGCAGGCAUUUCUGUGGCCUGCUAUGUGGGGAAAAUGAAAUGGUUUCCCAGGACCUCUGUUGGUCUUCAAAUUAUGCAAUUAUUGAUAGAUUUUUUUUUUUAUUUUGGAGGAUUCAUGUUAAUUCUAAUUUCAUGUAUCUCAGGAGACUGUCAAGUCAAUACUGUUGUGUGUCACAAGGUUCAGAUUGGCUAUGUAUAUGUCAUGAUAACUAAGUGGAUCCCAUGUGCCUGCCAAUCUAAGCUGGAAAUCCUGAGCAGAUUGAGAGGAGGGAGAGGUUAGGGGAGGAUGGGCGCUGCAGGGUAGGCUGGACCCAGGAGAUGACUGGUAGUAGCAGUGAGUGGGCACAAGUUUUCCAUCCCAAGUGUGCUGCCCUGCCUGUUGGUCUUCUCUGCCAUCAUGGAAAUGAAAGGUCACUAACCGCCUCUUCUAUACCCAUAGGGAACGACCUCAGGAGGAUACUCAGGUAUGCAGAUUCCCUGACUAGUUCUAGAGCAGUGGAUGUCCAAGCGUGGUCCCUGAUCAACAACCGCCACACCACCUGGAGGUCUUGUUGCCAUGUAGCUUCUGACCCAAUACCAGCGGGUAGGGCCUGAGCUUCUGCAUUUCAUAAGCUCCCACGGGAUGCCGAUGCCCAUGGUCCAAGGACCACACUUUGAGUAGUAAGGAUGCAGGGUGCUUUUACAGGCCAUUUGCUUCCAUACCUCUUCACCCACUUACAAGUGCAUAAAAUCCAUCCUUAUUAUAUGACCAGAAGGAAGGUUCAACACAGCCCAAGUGACAGUAUCAGUGCUAAAUUCUUCCAUGGGAUGGAAGGACUGGUGAGUUGCAGAGGACUCUCCCUUCUGGUGGUGGGGAGAGUGAUGAGCACCCUGACUCUGACCAGGCUGAGAGGACAGAGGAAGGAGUCUGGGGAAGCUGAAUCACUUGGAGGACUUGACAGCUCUGCAUGGGACCUGGCACAGUGUCAGCCACUGCCUCCCAGGACGUCUCAGGUUCCAAGCUGCUUUUGUUAUUUAAUACCUCUGACUUCAUAGAAAGGAGCUUUGUUUAGGGAGGAAGGGGAGCUAAUUGAGGCAUCAAGGUAUAUAAUAUAGACCUUGCCCUCUGGGAACGUAAUGCAAUUUUUAACUGUUUCCAGAGCAAGACUUAAGCAAUCCAACUCUGGGCAGAAACCACCACGAUUAGUUUUCAAGUUUCUAAAGUACUUUUUCAUUCUGGAUAGAGAAGCCGAAAAUCCUGGGGGAACACACUGAGCUUCUCCAGAAGCCACAGGUCCGUUACAUGUCAGACUAUAUUCAGCUUCGUGGGGAAAUGACAACUAAUUUUCACGUAAAAUUCAUCUUGGUGCGCACACAAACGCCAGCAGGCAAUAUGCAACGGCUGUGCGUGGGAUUACUGAGAUUUCUUUUUCUUCUUUAAACAUUCCUUUUCCUGUGGUUUUAAUGAUGUUUACACAAUAAGACAUUCAUUUUAGGAGGCCGAAGAGUCUCUGAACUGUUUCUAUUGUGCAUUGUAUUGGUAGGGACAGAAUAAGCUCAUUAUUCCCGUACAGUCAGGAGAGUGGGAAGUGAUUAAACCUUUUGAUAAGAAGAUAAAUGAUAGGAAAUCCAUCUGAAAGCCCGCACUGCCCCGACUCAGAGUUUCCACACUGAGCUAGCACAAAGCCUUCCUUCUGUGCAGGGCGCCCUGGGCAGCCUCAUCCUUCCAGCUGUUGUCCCACAUUGGCUGUGACACUCUUAAAGACCCACACCUGGGGCAGCACUGUUUGCUGAAAGCAGGACCCCAGGCGUGGUCAGGGCCUGGUUCUGGGCUCCUAGAAUACCUUUCUCCCAUGCACGAGUUCCUGGUGCUUUACACUCCCCAAUGUCAAAAAUUGGAUCUCCUGGGCACAGUCCAGCACAUGAGAUCACCCAGGAAUAUUUCUCAGCUGGGUGGACAGGUGGAAGUUUUUAUCAAGCUUGAAAGAGGCUGUCACCGAGUGCGUGGCCUCACGUCAGACUUCUGUGCGGACAGGUAAUUGAUUGACCAAUGGUUAGCACGAGUCACUUACCACUCUAAGGGGUAAGCUUCUCUUUGCGGGGAGUCAAGGAAAGCCCACUUUUCUCAGUAACAUGGUGUGUCCACAAUGACUUCUUUAAAAAUGUAUUGACUGGGGUGCCUGGGUGGCUCAGUCAGUUCAGCAUCCAACUCUUGAUCUCAGCUCAGGUCUUGGUCUCAGGGUCGUGAGUUCAAGCCUGGCUUGGGCUCUAUGCUGGAUGUGGAGACGCCUUUAAAUACAUAAAGUAAAAUAAGAUAAAAUAAAGUAAAAAUGCAUUGUCCAUCGACAGUUUGCCUGCAUCAUAUACCAUAACUCGUGUUCUGUGCACAUUGCCCUGUAGCUCCCAAUGACCACUCCCUCCGUCCCAGGUCCUGGCAGGGAAGGAUCUGCACUUCUUCCAAUCCUGAGUUUUGUAGCCAGGAAGCAGAGGAUCAAGAGAAGAGUAAAGAAAUACACGAUCUGCUUGUAUCAGGGCCCACCUCCCCACUGUUGCUGCACCUCUGUGUUUCAGAUUCUGUGUCCAGAGCGGGCACCUGUUGCUUUUGCCUACAUGUGCCCCACAUCCCUGUCUUCAAGAAGCAGCAGCUCUUUCCUGCUCAUGUGCCAUGUUUUCCCUGGGGCUGAUCCCACAGCCCUGCCCUAGGGAGCAUAAGUGCAAGGCCACAGCCUUUAAAGUCCUGAUGAUCAGCUCAAGACCAGACAUGCAAUUUAAGCAAGGUCAAUGAAAUUCAAGCUGUGACUUUUACUGAAACCUACUGAAAGUCUCUUCAUUUUUGCUGGGGUUACUCAGUUGAUAGACUACAAGGUUAGAGCUUCUAGGGGUUACUUACCCCGUGUAGGAAAGUGGAUGCACUGCCGAGAAGUGGAGAAAGAUAUGUUUGGAAAAACACUAAUUGAGCUCCUGGAUACAGCCAUACCUGCAUGAAUAUUGCCUGAACUUUUCAGAUACUUGAGCUAGUAAAGGUUCCCCCUUUGUCUUUUUAUUUUCUUUCCUUCCUGCCCACACUCUCUUCCUUCCUUUGUUCGUUCCUUCCUCCUUCCCUCCCUUCCCCUCCCUUCUUUCCUUCUUUCCAUUUCUGCCUUGGUUUUUGUCAUUUGCACCAAAAGAACAGUCCCCUCUCUGGCCUUUAGUAUAUACUUGAUAAAGUAAAAUGAAAUGAGUUUCCUUUUAUCUAACAGUGUUUAUGAUUCAAAGAUACAUGUUAGAGGCAAUGGAGCACUUUUAGAAGUGUAUUUAUUCUGGGACAUGCACCAAAUAUCCAGGGACCAAAAAGAGGCAGUGUGUCUUCAAAUCCUUCCAAGCUCUGCAUCCAGGGAGCAGAGGCUCUGCUGUCAUCCUGCGCCAUCUCAGACAUCCAGCCAGGCUAGUGAAUGGACUGGCUGCUCUCUCCAAGUGACACCUGUUCUAGAGGGUCAUCCUUGCUGGCACACUCUGGUCCCUGAAGAUUGCGUACUUGGCACGCUGAAGGAGCUGAACUCUGUGGGGGUCCAGGUUAAAAAAAAAAACAGUUUUAUUCUUUCUUGCUGUUGACCCUUCAAAUCCAUUUUAGGGAUCAAUUUUUACCCACUUGGACAAACCCCAUGGUUUUUCCUGUCGUUUUUGAAAAGUCUCCCAGUCACUUUAUGUUUUAAGAAUACUCUCAUUUUCAUAAUUAAAAUAUGCAGUCUGCCGUAGCUAUGAAACUCAAACCUACCUCAACAGUGAAAUCUUCUCUUUCCUCCCCGCUUGGGUCUGACAGGCAGCAGACAGAGGAUGCUGGAGUCUUCCCCAGGGUCCUCCUGCCUGGUCCUUCCUCUUCCUCUUCCUCACUUCAUGGGACCACUUGUGGCUCCUCCAUGGUUUGGAGAUAGUGGAGGGAGGAGAGGUAGGGCAGGACAGGUAAUAUUUGACUGGCGUCCUGCCCCACGUUGUUGCCUCCUGUUUUGAUGGGUUCCCAUCAGGCACCUUUCUGUUGUUUUUUUGUGGGCGGCAUUGUCUUCUGGAGGAGGCCUCAGCUGCAGUGGGCAUCACCUUCUCUCCUUCCACCCCUGACCACAUGAAAGUCUGCUGGUCCUGUUGGGUCCCCUUUCCCGCCAGGUGUCCCAAGGGGGUCAGGUCUAAGGUUCUGCCAAGCCCCUUCCCUUCCCGGGGUCUCACGUCAGAUCUGUGGGCCAUUGCCCGUGUGGUCGGGGGAUCGGCCCUCAGUGCACUUCUCUGCUCUGUCACCAGGCUGCUGUGAUGAGCCUCUGCCUCUGGGCUUCUUGGGGUGGGAGUCAGACCUGGCCUCUGUCCCCCACACACCCCGGGAGACAUGGGUCAGCCUCUCCAAGGGAUUCUUUGGAAGCCUGUCUUAACUGGAUUGAAAAGAGGGAAGUCCUGCCCCUCCCUUCCUGACUCUAGAGCAGGAGGGAGGACCUGUAGGGCCUGGCAUGCCCUCGCCUAGCUGUGAAGAAAGUCUGGAAGCUUCGUAACCUCAACCUGUUUGGAUCCUCCAGGCAGAUUUUGAUGAGAGGACAAAUCUUCACAGUGGCCUGCCUGCCUGAGUGCUCAAGCACCCCACCUUGCAUCGGGGUUUUCUUGCCUUCUAGUGUCCACCAGUACUUCUCAGCUUCUGGAGUUUCCACCAAGAGAGCCGAGAGAUCUGAGCCACACACAGUGGCCCCGGGGGGUGACAGUCACCUACCUUUCCUGGGAGCCGUCACUCAAGAUGCCUUGCUGCUGCAUUCACUUUAGGAGGACUUCAAUCACACACGAUGGCACUUGCAGCCACUCUUCCAGCUUCUGGAAUCGUGAAGAAAGACAUUUCUGUUUCUCAAGGCCUGCAGUACCUUUCUGGGGCAGCCCCAGCAAACCAAGACAGCCCCCACUUGCCCUGGGCCCAGUUCCUCCGCCUGCUCGGCCUGCCUGGGCUGCCAUCUUGAGACUAGUGGAGGCUGUCAGAGAAAUUUCGUGACAGGAAGGCGAGCCAUCCAGGUGUCCCCUCGUCCCUGAAGCCGGAGCUGGAAGCACAAGCCAUGCUGGGAGACCUCCCCUCACUGGGCCACCACUUGGGCCAGCCGUUCCCUUCUGCUCUGUGAGCUCCUGGAGAACGAGGUCCACUUCCACACCUGCUCUUGACACCGUCCUUCCCUCCUGAGGUGGCAGCAGAAAUACCAGGACUUGCCCUGGCUUCUCAGCAGCUGAGAUGCAGUCAUUUUGGUUUUGAAAGUCACAGACCCGGGCCUGCAAGAAGGACAAGGUCUCUGGUGGAACAGGUCCCAGAAGAACAGGUUGCAAGGAUGCCAAGUGCUGAGAGAAAGCCUAGUCGUCAUCUGAGGCCUUGAAACUUUUCAAGUGACUCAGCAAAGCUGUGUACACAGAACUUUAUCAAUUAUGCAUCAUAAAUAAAUCAUUUAAAUGCACGAUGUACUAAUUGAAUAUUACUCUAAUUCAUAGCGAUAUGGGGUAAUUACAAACCCCACCUCAUCCUUCUUCGAAAUGCAGAGGCCAGCAGAAUGGACUGCCCUUGAGAGGCCUUGCAGUUGGGGAAAGACGCCCAGAGUAUAUUAAGAGGAGGCACUGGAGAGAUGAGGUUGGUUGGGGCUCUUUUGUGCAUUUCUCUGUCUGUGCCUGUCCUGCUCUGAUCGUGGAAAUCCAGAUGCAACAACCUCAUCCCUCUUCUCUGCUGAGUUCUUCAGUCCAAGGAAGGGUCAGCUCUUUGGCUCCUAACAGCAUGUGACUGACACUCCUCACCAGCACCGGCCUCUGAAGGCCACGUCUGGGCCUAGGACCUGGCACCAUCUUCCAGAAGGGCUCCCCCUUCACCUCCAAAAUCUGGGGCACCUCCAGAACCAAGAGCCUUGAAUUGUCUUGAAAUGUGCGCUGUGUCUCGUUAGGCCAAAAGAAAACUUGUGAAAGCAGUAAGAGUAUGUUAGUAAA